UAUAGGGUCCCCCCAUGGAUAGAGGUCCGUGUUAGGGUGCUCCAUAUCGGGCAUGAAUAUCAGGAACACCGGCAGGUGCACUUAGGACCAUGUUUUAAUUUUUCAGAUUCCCAGGUGCACAGGGAUCCUAAUCCGCAUCCACCGAAAUCUCACAAAGUGUCCAUAAAUCACUCAGGGAGGGCCCCCAUGGAUACAGGGCCGUAGUAGGAUGCUCCUAUAGUGGGCAUUAAUAUGAGAAUGACCGAAAAGUGCAUUUAGGACCAUAUUAUAAUUUUCGGGUUCCCAGGUGCACGUUUCCAAUAACCAGGUGCACACGGAUGUAUAGGGUCCCCCCAUGGAUAGAGGUCCGUGUUGGGGUGCUCCAUAUCGGGCAUGAAUAUCAGGAACACCGGCAGGUGCACUUAGGACCAUGUUUUAAUUUUUCAGAUUCCCAGGUGCACAGGGAUCCUAAUCCGCAUCCAUCGAAAUCUCACAAAGUGUCCAUAAAUCACUCAGGGAGGGCCCCCAUGGAUACAGGGCCGUAGUAGGAUGCUCCUAUAGUGGGCAUUAAUAUGAGAAUGACCGAAAAGUGCAUUUAGGACCAUAUUAUAAUUUUCGGGUUCCCAGGUGCACGUUUCCAAUAACCAGGUGCACACGGAUGUAUAGGGUCCCCCCAUGGAUAGAGGUCCGUGUUAGGGUGCUCCAUAUCGGGCAUGAAUAUCAGGAACACCGGCAGGUGCACUUAGGACCAUGUUUUAAUUUUUCAGAUUCCCAGGUGCACAGAGAUCCUAAUCCGCAUCCAUCGAAAUCUCACAAAGUGUCCAUAAAUCACUCAGGGAGGGCCCCCAUGGAUACAGGGCCGUAGUAGGAUGCUCCUAUAGUGGGCAUUAAUAUGAGAAUGACCGAAAAGUGCAUUUAGGACCAUAUUAUAAUUUUCGGGUUCCCAGGUGCACGUUUCCAAUAACCAGGUGCACGGAUGUAUAGGGUCCCCCCAUGGAUAGAGGUCCGUGUUAGGGUGCUCCAUAUCGGGCAUGAAUAUCAGGAACACCGGCAGGUGCACUUAGGACCAUGUUUUAAUUUUUCAGAUUCCCAGGUGCACAGGGAUCCUAAUCCGCAUCCACCGAAAUCUCACAAAGUGUCCAUAAAUCACUCAGGGAGGGCCCCCAUGGAUACAGGGCCGUAGUAGGAUGCUCCUAUAGUGGGCAUUAAUAUGAGAAUGACCGAAAAGUGCAUUUAGGACCAUAUUAUAAUUUUCGGGUUCCCAGGUGCACGUUUCCAAUAACCAGGUGCACACGGAUGUAUAGGGUCCCCCCAUGGAUAGAGGUCCGUGUUGGGGUGCUCCAUAUCGGGCAUGAAUAUCAGGAACACCGGCAGGUGCACUUAGGACCAUGUUUUAAUUUUUCAGAUUCCCAGGUGCACAGGGAUCCUAAUCCGCAUCCAUCGAAAUCUCACAAAGUGUCCAU